rnacentral:lncRNA from 1 species
AUGCUCUCCUCCCUCUUUACAUGCUCUCCUCCCUCUUUACAUGCUCUCCUCCCUCUUUACGUCCCCUUUACAUUCUCUCCUCCCUCUUUACAUGCUCUCCUCCCUCUUUACGUCCCCUUUACAUUCUCUCCUCCCUCUUUACGUCCCCUUUACAUGCUCUCCUCCCUCUUUACGUUCCCUUUACAUGCUCUCCUCCCUCUUUACGUUCCCUUUGCAUUCUCCCCUCCCUCUUUCGUCUCCUUUAAAUUCUCCCCUCCCUCUUUACAUCCCCUUUACAUUCUCCCCUCCCUCUUUACGUCCCCUUUACAUUCUCCCCCUCCCUCUUUACGUCCCCUUUACAUUCUCCCCUCCCUCUUUACGUCCCCUUUACAUGCUCCCCUACUUUACAUCCUUUACGUUCCCUUUACAUUCUCUCCUCCCUCAUUACGUCCCCGUUACAUUCUCUCCUCCCACUUUACGUCCCCUUUACAUUCUCUCCUCCCUCUUUACGUCCCCUUUACAUUCUCCCCUCCCUCUUUACGUCCCCUUUACAUGCUCUCCUACUUUACGUCCUUUACAUUCCCUUUACAUUCUCUCCUCCCUCAUUACGUCCCCGUUACAUUCUCUCCUCCCACUUUACGUCCCCUUUACAUUCUCUCCUCCCUCUUUACGUCCCCGUUACAUUCUCUCCUCCCACUUUACGUCCCCUUUACAUUCUCGCCUCCCUCUUUACGUCCCCUUUACAUUCUCUCCUCCCUCUUUACAUCCCCUUUACAUUCUCUCCUCCCUCUUUACGUCCCCGUUACAUUCUCUCCUCCCUCUUUACGUCCCCUUUACAUUCUCUCCUCCCUCUUUACGUCCCCUUUACAUUCUCUCCUCCCACUUUACGUCCCCUUUACAUUCUCUCCUCCCUCUUUACGUCCCCUUUACAUUCUCUCCUCCCACUUUACGUCCCCUUUACAUUCUCUCCUACCUCUUUACGUCCCCUUUACAUUCUCCCCUCCCUCUUUACGUCCCCUUUACAUGCUCCCCUACUUUACAUCCUUUACGUUCCCUUUACAUUCUCUCCUCCCUCAUUACGUCCCCCGUUACAUUCUCUCCUCCCACUUUACGUCCCCUUUACAUUCUCUCCUCCCUCUUUACGUCCCCUUUACAUUCUCCCCUCCCUCUUUACGUCCCCUUUACAUGCUCUCCUACUUUACGUCCUUUACAUUCCCUUUACAUUCUCUCCUCCCUCAUUACGUCCCCGUUACAUUCUCUCCUCCCACUUUACGUCCCCUUUACAUUCUCUCCUCCCUCUUUACGUCCCCGUUACAUUCUCUCCUCCCACUUUACGUCCCCUUUACAUUCUCUCCUCCCUCUUUACGUCCCCUUUACAUUCUCUCCUCCCACUUUACGUCCCCUUUACAUUCUCUCCUACCUCUUUACGUCCCCUUUACAUUCUCUCCUCCCACUUUACGUCCCCUUUACAUUCUCUCCUCCCUCUUUACGUCCCCUUUACAUUCUCUCCUCCCACUUUACGUCCCCUUUACAUUCUCUCCUACCUCUUUACGUCCCCUUUACAUUCUCUCCUACCUCUUUACGUCCCCUUUACAUUCUCUCCUACCUCUUUACGUCCCCUUUACAUUCUCUCCUCCCACUUUACGUCCCCUUUACAUUCUCUCCUACCUCUUUACGUCCCCUUUACAUUCUCUCCUACCUCUUUACGUCCCCUUUACAUUCUCUCCUCCCUCUUUACGUCCCCUUUACAUUCUCUCCUCCCACUUUACGUCCCCUUUACAUUCUCUCCUACCUCUUUACGUCCCCUUUACAUUCUCUCCUACCUCUUUACGUCCCCUUUACAUUCUCUCCUACCUCUUUACGUCCCCUUUACAUUCUCUCCUCCCACUUUACGUCCCCUUUACAUUCUCUCCUACCUCUUUACGUUGGUAUUUAGGCUUAUGUUGA